rnacentral:rRNA from 1 species
UACAGAGGUCUCAAGCGUUGUUCGGAUUCAUUGGGCGUAAAGGGUGCGUAGGCGGCGCGGUAAGUCGGGUGUGAAAUCUUGGAGCUUAACUCCGAAACUGCAUUCGAUACUGCCGUGCUUGAGGACUGGAGAGGAGAUUGGAAUUCACGGUGUAGCAGUGAAAUGCGUAGAUAUCGUGAGGAAGACCGGUGGCGAAGGCGGAUCUCUGGACAGUUCCUGACGCUGAGGCGCGAAGGCCAGGGGAGCAAACGGG